UACGGCCUCAUCACGGAGAAACACUGGUCACCCAUACGAUCACCGAAGUUAAGCAACGUCGAGAUUGGCCAGUGCCUAGAUGGGUGACCGUUUGGAAAUACUAGGUGCUGUAAG